UAUGGUGUGUGCCAGCAGCCGCGGUAAUACGGAGGAUCCGAGCGUUAUCCGGAUUUAUUGGGUUUAAAGGGAGCGUAGGUGGAUUGUUAAGUCAGUUGUGAAAGUUUGCGGCUCAACCGUAAAAUUGCAGUUGAAACUGGCAGUCUUGAGUACAGUAGAGGUGGGCGGAAUUCGUGGUGUAGCGGUGAAAUGCUUAGAUAUCACGAAGAACUCCGAUUGCGAAGGCAGCUCACUAGACUGUUACUGACACUGAUGCUCGAAAGUGUGGGUAUCAAACAGG
rnacentral:rRNA from 1 species